CAAAAGACAAGUGGAGGCAUAAAGCGCUGCACAUCACAACACUGAAGCAAAACUUAACAAGAUUGCUGUUGCGUGAAAAGGUACGAUGCUGGGAAACUGCGUGGGCCUGUGAUUACUCAGGCUGGAGUCCCUCCUGAACAACACAUAAAAGAUGACUGGAAAAUAAAUAUGGACAAAGUUACACCCAUUAUUGAGUCAGGAGCAAAGGGACCGUGUCCAACAGACAUCGGAGAGAAUGAUCCAGAAGAAGACACAGUGAGGAAGGUGAUGGCGGGGGGGGCCACUGGCCUGGCGCUGGGGGUUUUGUGUGGGGCCGCUUCCCCCCUUGCAGCUGUACUAAGAUCAGCCGUGGUUGUGGGGAGCAGAUUAGCCUUUAGUGUAGCUAAUAUGGCCGCUGGGGCCGUUGUCGGAGGGGUUUUGGGAGGCGUUACGGGCGCAGUGAAUGGGCUAGGAGCUGACAGUCCUUUGCAAGCAGCUGAGCAAACCCUGUAUCAGGUGGGCAGAGAGGGGGUCAAGGUUGUGGGGGUGGCUGCAGGGUUUGGAGUUAUAGGGCCUCCGGCUGCAGCAGCUGCAGGGUUGUCAGCUCCAGGGGUUCAGGGUACACCUGUGGCAGCUGCAAUAGGUUAUUUGACAAAAAAAAAACUAUCCGGGAAUAUAAAAUCAGGUGAAGCACUUUGAGUCUGCCUUGUGUAUGAAAAGGGCUAUAUAAAUAAAGUUGCCUUGCCUUGCCUUGCCUUGCCUUGCCUUGCCUUGCCUUGCCUUGCCUUGCCUUGCCUUGCCUUGAAUUUAAAUAUAAUUAAUAAGCUGCUCUGCCAUGUCAUGCCGUAACAGUGACACAAUCUGUUCUCAGUGCCUGGCACUGUAGUACUUUACAAGCAGUAGCCUACUACAUGAAUACAUUAAAGUCAAUUCACUCCAUUGCAGAACGAAAAUCCAGAUUUUUCCAAUGCUUCCCCAAUACCCCGACCGCUUCACAUACAACAACACCUUUACCUUUACUUGGUUUAUGGGCUAUAUCAGGGUCGUUUGGAUCUUGACACAUUUUGUAUUUUGUAUAAUGGGGCACUCGUCUGGGUGAAAAGCGGGGGCAGAACUGCAGUAUAGCUCUCGUGCCAUAAGGGAAGCAGACAUCCGACAAGGGGUUAAGGGGCCUGGAUGCGCGGCUGGACACCUUCUCUCUCUCCUCUUGCUUUACUUAUCUUUAUGUUCCUAGUGUUCACUCCACUUGGAGAUGUGCCUGAUCAUUGUAUUAAGUUAGCUUGGUUCAGAAAAUAAAGGUAUUUGGAUGAAUUUUAGACUUAACAUCAGAUGGGUUGUGGGUUUUACAGUUUAUUUAAUUCUGCAUAAAACUGGCUUCAUGAAUGUUUUUAUUGUCAUGAUUUAUUCACUGGAAAUAAUCAAUAAAGGAUGUAUUUAUUUCACAAUCAUAUAAAUGACUUGUAUAUUUUCAAUCAAUAAA